GCCCUGAUUCAUCUUCAGCCCGUCUCUUUUUGGAAUCUGGUGUA
rnacentral:sRNA from 1 species